rnacentral:rRNA from 1 species
ACGGGUGAGUAAUGCUUAGGAAUCUGCCCAGUAGUGGGGGACAACAGUCGGAAACGGCUGCUAAUACCGCAUACGCCCUACGGGGGAAAGCGGGGGAUCUUCGGACCUUGCGCUAUUGGAUGAGCCUAAGUCGGAUUAGCUAGUUGGUGGGGUAAAGGCCUACCAAGGCGACGAUCCGUAGCUGGUCUGAGAGGAUGAUCAGCCACAUCGGGACUGAGACACGGCCCGAACUCCUACGGGAGGCAGCAGUGGGGAAUAUUGGACAAUGGGGGCAACCCUGAUCCAGCCAUGCCGCGUGUGUGAAGAAGGCUUUCGGGUUGUAAAGCACUUUCAGCGAGGAGGAAGGCCUUAAAGUUAAUACCUUUAAGGAUUGACGUUACUCGCAGAAGAAGCACCGGCUAACUCCGUGCCAGCAGCCGCGGUAAUACGGAGGGUGCAAGCGUUAAUCGGAAUUACUGGGCGUAAAGCGCGCGUAGGUGGUUUGGUAAGCGAGAUGUGAAAGCCCCGGGCUUAACCUGGGAACGGCAUUUCGAACUGUCAGAAUAGAGUGUGGUAGAGGGUAGUGAAUUCCUGUGU